rnacentral:misc_RNA from 1 species
AAAAUAAUCCUACCCUUUGUGAAUUUUGUUUGUUUGAAUAAUUUUUUUUUUUAAAAAAUUAUUGGAGUCUUUCCCUUUAGAGUUUGCUUUUGAGUUUGUAAAAGAAUUCGAAAACAUCUAAAGGGGAUGGUCAAUAAUUUUUUUGAAAAAAGACAUUUUUUAAAAUUAAACUUUUUGUAUUCAUUUGUCUAAAAAUUAUUUUUAUAAUAUAAAAACAACUUUUGACAAUGGAUCUCUUGGUUCUCGCAACGAUGAAGAACGCAGCAAAAUGCGAUAAGUAGUGUGAAUUGCAGAAUACGUGAAUCAUCGAAUCUUUGAACGCAUAUUGCACUUUUUUAGUUUACUAAAAAAGUAUGUCUGUUAUGAGUAUCAGUAAAAUAUUCUCAUAAAAAUCAUUGGUAUUUUUAUGGUUAUGAGUGUUUUACAACGAUACAAGUUGUUUCACUUUAAAUUUUUUUUAAUAUUGAAAUUUUUCUAAUUUUAAUAAUUAAAAUUGGAUAAAAUUUUCCCGUCAAAAGGAAUAACCUAAACAAUUUUAAAUGAUUAAUUUUAGCAAAAUUUUCGUAAAAAAAGGAAAAUUUUUAUUAAAAUAACUUGAUCUCAAAUCAGAUAAGAGUACCGCGAACUUAAGCAUAUCAAUAAGCGGAGGAAAAGAAACUAACAAGGAUUCCCUUAGUAACGGCGAGUGAAGCGGGAAGAGCUCAAAUUUGAAAUCUUCAAGGUUUUACCUUGACGAAUUGUAGUUUAAAGAAGUGUUUUCUGCUGAAGUUUUGGUAAAAGUUCUUUGGAAUAGGACAUCAUAGAGGGUGAGAAUCCCGUAUUUGACCAUUAUUUUCAGCUUUGUGAUACACUUUCAAAGAGUCGGAUUGUUUGGGAAUGCAGUCCAAAAUGGUGGUAAAUUUCAUCUAAAGCUAAAUAUUGGCGAGAGACUGAUAGCGAACAAGUACCGUGAGGGAAAGAUGAAAAGGACUUUGAAAAGAGAGUUAAACAGUACGUGAAAUUGUCAAAAGGGAAGCGUUUGACACCAGUGUUGUUUUCUCGAAAAAUCAAUUAAAAAUGGCUCGAUUUUGUAUUGCUGAGACUUAAAAGCUCACUGUACAUUUUUCGUGUCUUUUUUAAUGCACUUUCGUUUAACAAGUCAACAUCAGUUUCUUUUGUUGUAAAAGGGUCAUUGGAAGGUGGCUUUCUUUUCGGAGAAAGUGUUUAUAGCCUUUGGCCUCUGCAAUCGAAGAGACUGAGGUCUGCAGCGUAGACUCUUCGGGGUUAGAUACAUUUGUGCUAAGUUAUAGCUUUUUAUAGACAACUUGUUGACUAUAAUUAGUCUUGUAGCUUACUCGCUUAUGCUAUUU